rnacentral:rRNA from 1 species
CCUACGGGAGGCAGCAGUGGGGAAUAUUGGGCAAUGGAGGCAAGUCUGACCCAGCAACGCCGCGUGAAGGAAGAAGGCUUUCGGGUUGUAAAGUUCUUUUAAGGGGGAAGAGCAGAAGACGGUACCCCUUGAAUAAGCCAAGGCUAACCACGUUCCAGCAGCCGCGGUAAUACGGAGGUGGCAAGAGUUUUCCGGAUUUGCUGGGGGUAAAGGGCGUGGAGCCGGGUAGAGAAGUUAGAUGUGAAAUCUACGGGCUCAACCCGUGAGCUUCAUGUGAAACUAUUUGGCUUGAGUGUCGGAGAGGUAAGCGGAAUUCCUAGUGUAGCGGUGAAAUGCGUAGAUAUUAGGAGGAACACCAGUGGCGAAGGCGAAUUACUGGACUGUAACUGACGGUGAGGCACGAAAGCGUGGGGAGCAAACAGGAUUAGAUACCCCAGUAGUC